rnacentral:lncRNA from 1 species
UAGUUUUAUUUAAAAGCAUUCAUAGAAUUAUCAAUCAUGAAACAUAAGAUGAGUAAGGAAAGAUCCACUCACCUGGAGUCCGUGCUACAACUUCCUAGCACAACCAUCGGGGCGUUCCGAGCGAUCGGCACCAACUUGGAGUCCAAAUGGUGGCCAGAAAAUGGUCUGAAAGCCUGCUGUCCGCGGGAAAACUGGUAACUUGCCGGAAUUUCUAGGCAACCUUACACGAUGGCUAUCUCACCGUGAUUUGGCCGGAAAACGCCUC